rnacentral:tRNA from 1 species
GCCGCCAUCGCAUAACGGUAUUGCACCGGAUUGCUAAUCCGGGCCCUUCGGGGCGCCUGGGUUCAACUCCCAGUGGCGGCG